rnacentral:tRNA from 1 species
ACCCAGGUGGCGAAAUUGGUAGACGCACCAUCUUGAGGGGGUGGCGCUCGCAAGGGCAUGGCAGUUCGAAUCUGCUUCUGGGUACAA